rnacentral:rRNA from 1 species
UACUAGAACUUUCCAGAGAUGGAUUGGUGCCUUCGGGAACUUAGAUACAGGUGCUGCAUGGCUGUCGUCAGCUCGUGUCGUGAGAUGUUGGGUUAAGUCCCGCAACGAGCGCAACCCUUUUCCUUAUUUGCCAGCGGGUCAUGCCGGGAACUUUAAGGAUACUGCCAGUGACAAACUGGAGGAAGGCGGGGACGACGUCAAGUCAUCAUGGCCCUUACGGCCAGGGCUACACACGUGCUACAAUGGUCGGUACAAAGGGUUGCUACCUCGCGAGAGGAUGCUAAUCUCAAAAAGCCGAUCGUAGUCCGGAUCGCAGUCUGCAACUCGACUGCGUGAAGUCGGAAUCGCUAGCAAUCGCGGAUCAGAAUGCCGCGGUGAAUACGUUCCCGGGCCUUGUACACACCGCCCGUCACACCAUGGGAGUUUGUUGCACCAGAAGUAGGUAGUCUAACCGCAAGGAGGACGCUUACCACGGUGUGGCCGAUGACUGGGGUGAAGUCGUAACAAGGUAGGCGUAGAUGA